UGAUGAAGAACGUAGCGAAAUGCGAUACGUAAUGUGAAUUGCAGAAUUCAGUGAAUCAUCGAGUCUUUGAACGCACAUUGCGCCCCCUGGUAUUCCGGGGGGCAUGCCUGUCCGAGCGUCAUUGCUGCCCUCAAGCACGGCUUGUGUGUUGGGCCUCCGUCCUCCUCCCGGGGGACGGGCCCGAAAGGCAGCGGCGGCACCGCGUCCGGUCCUCGAGCGUAUGGGGCUUCGUCACCCGCUCUUGUAGGCCCGGCCGGCGCUUGCCGACACAUCAAUCUUUUUUCCAGGUUGACCUCGGAUCAGGUAGGGAUACCCGCUGAACUUAAGCAUAUCAAUAAGCGGAGGA
rnacentral:misc_RNA from 1 species